rnacentral:lncRNA from 1 species
AAACCAUCCCUUAUAUCAUGAGGUUUAGGAUUCUUAUGAGAUUUAGAGGCAAAAGAAAUUAGGUAAUACACAUCUCAUGAGAUGUUUUGGAACUUCCUCUAAAACAUCUGCAGAUGUGAAGAAGUAGGAUUAUAGUUCCAAAAGCCUAAAAAGAUAGAAGUUACAAGGACUGGAAUAUAAUAAAUCUAGAGAUCAAAGAAUUAGGGCUUCACUCCAAAGCCAAUUGGAGAUGGUAAAUAAGCAACAUCCUUAAUGUAUUAUGGUACAGGAAACUAUAGAAAGCUUAAAUACUACCGAAGAUAUUACCUACUAGGGGCAUGUGAAUAAAUUUUUGUAAAAGACCAUGAAUUUCC